rnacentral:rRNA from 1 species
GAUGAACGCUGGCGGCAGGCCUAACACAUGCAAGUCGAACGGUAACAGGAAGAAGCUUGCUUCUUUGCUGACGAGUGGCGGACGGGUGAGUAAUGUCUGGGAAACUGCCUGAUGGAGGGGGAUAACUACUGGAAACGGUAGCUAAUACCGCAUAACGUCGCAAGACCAAAGAGGGGGACCUUCGGGCCUCUUGCUAUCAGAUGGGCCCAGAUGGGAUUAGCUAGUAGGUGGGGUAAUGGCUCACCUAGGCGACGAUCCCUAGCUGGUCUGAGAGGAUGACCAGCCACACUGGAACUGAGACACGGUCCAGACUCCUACGGGAGGCAGCAGUGGGGAAUAUUGCACAAUGGGCGCAAGCCUGAUGCAGCCAUGCCGCGUGUAUGAAGAAGGCCUUCGGGUUGUAAAGUACUUUCAGCGAGGAGGAAGGCAUUGUGGUUAAUAACCACAGUGAUUGACGUUACUCGCAGAAGAAGCACCGGCUAACUCCGUGCCAGCAGCCGCAGUAA